rnacentral:tRNA from 1 species
UUGGUGUAGUUGGUAGAGCGCUCGCUUCCGAUGCUCGAAGUCACUGGUUCGAUCCCGGCCUUA